rnacentral:misc_RNA from 1 species
AUUUUCAAUUUCUCGCUCAUCUUCGCUGUCCCAGUCAAAAUUGUCAUCCUCUCCGCAUAAUGAAUCUCCAUCCUGCAGUCAUUCAAUCAUUUCCCCAAUAAUUUAGUCAUUUCCUUCCAAGCUACAGCUUUGACCAAGACUUCAAGCAGCAGCUGUAAGUACACAUACAGUGGCCAGAGUAUAAUUAAUAGAUUCAAAACCCAUAAGCAAUGGCUCUCACUAAGAAUCCACAUGCAGAAUUUGGGAACAAUAGAUUCCACUUGAUUCCCAUUGAUAUCAUACACUAUAAAACAAGAAGCUAACUAGUAACUGCAAGUAUAGACCCACAAAUGUUAGAUUAAGAUUUUUCACAUGAUAAAGGCUACAAAACCAAUCAACAAGACAACAACUCCGCUUAUAGGUCCUUUAAAAUCCCAUCAGUAAAUAAAAAUUUUAUCAGCAAACUUAUUAAUUAAAAAACCUUACAUGCCAAAUACGAAAAAAAACUUCACUUUGUUAUUAGGCUUGAUACAAACAACCAAGCAAAAUACUUACUGCAAAUGUUCUCCAUGAAAACAGAACAAGAAUUUUCACACAUUCAAGCAAUUCAUGAAACUGCACAAUAAUUUAUAGAGUGCACUUUUACAUGUCUUAUUGAGCAUUGUUCCCUUAAGAACUAAGAAGGAAGGGGAACCCACUAACAAAAUGACAUAUCUAAAUUAAAGCCAUAAAAAUUAUGAUCUAAUUAGAACUUCUAAACUCUAAACCAAACAGAAAAAAAACAAAAAAACAAAAAACAAAGAAAAAAGAAAAAGAGAAAGAAAAAGAGAAAUCUUCCAGUAAAAAGUACAAUAUAACGCUAAUCAACAAGGAAGAAGAAGAAAGUAAUAAAACUAGAAAGAAAUUGACGUCUUUGAGCAGUUUUUGAUCCUGAACUGCUUUAAAACCUAUAUAUAAUGUCCCUCCACCAUGCAGGAACGAAUGCAAGACACAAAUCGGCAGAGACAGAGAGAUAGAGAAGACUUUGGUGAGAGUGAUAGAACUCGUGAAAUUUGAGAAGAGAGGAUCUCUU